AUUGUUGGGUAGGGGAGCGUUCUGUAAGCCUGUGAAGGUGUGCUGUGAGGCAUGCUGGAGGUAUCAGAAGUGCGAAUGCUGACAUAAGUAACGAUAAUGCGGGUGAAAAACCCGCACGCCGGAAGACCAAGGGUUCCUGUCCAACGUUAAUCGGGGCAGGGUGAGUCGACCCCUAAGGCGAGGCAGAAAUGCGUAGUCGAUGGGAAACGGGUUAAUAUUCCCGUACUGGUGAUAAUUGCGAUGGGGGGACGGAGAAGGCUAGGCUAUCCGGGCGACGGUUGUCCCGGUUUAAGGAUGUAGGCAGGUGAAUUAGGCAAAUCCGGUUCACUAUAUGCUGAGGUCCGAYGACGAGUCACUACGGUGAUGAAGUAGCUCAUGCCCCGCUUCCAGGAAAAGCCUCUAAGCUCUAGAUUAUCAUUAAUCGUACCCCAAACCGACACAGGUGGUCAGGUAGAGAAUACUCAGGCGCUUGAGAGAACUCGGGUGAAGGAACUAGGCAAAAUGGUGCCGUAACUUCGGGAGAAGGCACGCUGGCAUUAGGUGAAGUGAUUUACUCAUGGAGCUGAAGCCAGUCGCAGAUACCAGCUGGCUGCAACUGUUUAUUAAAAACACAGCACUGUGCAAACACGAAAGUGGACGUAUACGGUGUGACGCCUGCCCGGUGCUGGAAGGUUAAUUGAUGGGGUUAUCCGUAAGGAGAAGCUCUUGAUCGAAGCCCCAGUAAACGGCGGCCGUAACUAUAACGGUCCUAAGGUAGCGAAAUUCCUUGUCGGGUAAGUUCCGACCUGCACGAAUGGCGUAAUGAUGGCCAGGCUGUCUCCACCCGAGACUCAGUGAAAUUGAACUCGCUGUGAAGAUGCAGUGUACCCGCGGCAAGACGGAAAGACCCCGUGAACCUUUACUAUAGCUUGACACUGAACAUUGAGCCUUGAUGUGUAGGAUAGGUGGGAGGCUUYGAAGYGUGGACGCCAGUCUGCGUGGAGCCAACCUUGAAAUACCACCCUUUAAUGUUUGAUGUUCUAACGUUGCCCCAUUAUCUGGGGUGCGGACAGUGUCUGGUGGGUAGUUUGACUGGGGCGGUCUCCUCCCAAAGAGUAACGGAGGAGCACGAAGGUUGGCUAAGCAUGGUCGGACAUCAUGCGGUUAGUGCAAAGGCAUAAGCCAGCUUGACUGCGAGAGUGACGGCUCGAGCAGGUACGAAAGUAGGUCUUAGUGAUCCGGUGGUUCUGAAUGGAAGGGCCAUCGCUCAACGGAUAAAAGGUACUCCGGGGAUAACAGGCUGAUACCGCCCAAGAGUUCAUAUCGACGGCGGUGUUUGGCACCUCGAUGUCGGCUCAUCACAUCCUGGGGCUGAAGUAGGUCCCAAGGGUACGGCUGUUCGCCGUUUAAAGUGGUACGCGAGCUGGGUUUAGAACGUCGUGAGACAGUUCGGUCCCUAUCUGCCGUGGGCGUUGGAAGAUUGAAAGGGGCUGCUCCUAGUACGAGAGGACCGGAGUGGACGCACCACUGGUGUUCGGGUUGUCAUGCCAAUGGCAUUGCCCGGUAGCUAAGUGCGGAAGAGAUAACCGCUGAAAGCAUCUAAGCGGGAAACUUGCCUUGAGAUGAGUCUUCCCUGACUCUUUAAGGGCUGCUCCUAGUACGAGAGGACCGGAGUGGACGCACCACUGGUGUUCGGGUUGUCAUGCCAAUGGCAUUGCCCGGUAGCUAAGUGCGGAAGAGAUAACCGCUGAAAGCAUCUAAGCGGGAAACUUGCCUUGAGAUGAGUCUUCCCUGACUCUUUAAGAGUCCUAAAGGAACGUUUAAGACUAAGACGUUGAUAGGUUGGGUGUGUAAGCGUAGCGAUACGUUGAGCUAACCAAUACUAAUGAACCGUGAGGCUUAACCUG
rnacentral:rRNA from 1 species